AUGCAAGAGAUAGUUUGUGGGUUCUCUGGAAUCCCAAAGAAGAGUAACAUACGGACAUACAGAUGCAGAUGCCCUACAAUGAUACGGUUGCUUCGGUCUAAUGACAAUGGCUGGUACAUAAACGAGUACAGACCAGAUCACAAUCAUGCACUCACUGGAAAAUAUGGUGAGAAAGUUUACUGGCCUUCACACAGGCAUAUUGAUAUAUAUACACGGGGUGUUAUCAAACAGCUCCGUGAAAAUAAUAUCAGCAUUGGCAAAGUGUACAAUAUAAUCGGCAGUUUCUUUGGUUCAAUGGACAAUGUAUCAGUCAGCAAAAGAGCUCUGCGGGGGUUGUGUGGCAAGAUCAAUCGAGAACAAGCAGAUAAUGAUGUGAAGAAGACAAUAGAUGUUUUGCAGAGUUAG
rnacentral:rRNA from 1 species